rnacentral:tRNA from 1 species
CAAAGUAGAGCUUGAGUAGUGAGCGUUCCAUUUACAUUGGAGGGGUUUUGU